UCCUCGUUAGUAUAGUGGUGAGUAUCCCUGCCUGUCACAUGGAAGACCGGGGUUCGAUUCCCUGACGGGGAC
rnacentral:tRNA from 1 species